rnacentral:rRNA from 1 species
UAACAAACGGUGGUGUCACAAAAUCGGAGGCCACGACUGUUUACUAAAAACACAAUUCAGAGCAAUGAUGAAAAUCAUAGUAUUCUGGAUGAAAUUUGCCCGAUGCCAUUAACAUAAAAGAGGUAAUGGGAAACUGUUACUAAUUGAAAGUCUGGUUAAUAGCGGUCUUAACUAUGAGGAUCCUAAGGUAGCAAAAUCAGUUGGCCAUUAAAUGUGGUCUGGUAUCAAUAGUGUAACGAUGGUCUCACUGUCUCUACAACUUGCUCAGUGAAAUUGAAUUAUCCGUGCAGAUGCG